rnacentral:tRNA from 1 species
GCGCGGGUGGUGGAAUGGCAGACACGCUACUUUGAGGGGGUAGUGGGGAAACCCAUGAGGGUUCAACUCCCUCCCCGCGCACUA